AUACGGGAGGCAGCAGUGGGGAAUAUUGCACAAUGGGCGAAAGCCUGAUGCAGCAACGCCGCGUGAGUGAUGAAGGCCUUCGGGUUGUAAAGCUCUGUCUUCUGGGACGAUAAUGACGGUACCAGAGGAGGAAGCCACGGCUAACUACGUGCCAGCAGCCGCGGUAAUACGUAGGUGGCAAGCGUUGUCCGGAUUUACUGGGCGUAAAGGAUGCGUAGGCGGAUACUUAAGUCAGAUGUGAAAAUCCCGGGCUUAACUUGGGAACUGCAUUUGAAACUGGGUAUCUAGAGUGCGGGAGAGGAAAGUGGAAUUCCUAGUGUAGCGGUGAAAUGCGUAGAGAUUAGGAAGAACACCAGUGGCGAAGGCGACUUUCUGGACCGUAACUGACGCUGAGGCAUGAAAGCGUGGGGAGCAAACAGGAUUAGAUACCCUUGUAGUCAU
rnacentral:rRNA from 1 species